GAUGAACGCUGGCGGCGUGCCUAAUACAUGCAAGUCGAGCGAACGGACGAGGAGCUUGCUUCUCUGAUGUUAGCGGCGGACGGGUGAGUAACACGUGGAUAACCUACCUAUAAGACUGGGAUAACUUCGGGAAACCGGAGCUAAUACCGGAUAAUAUUUUGAACCGCAUGGUUCAAAAGUGAAAGACGGUCUUGCUGUCACUUAUAGAUGGAUCCGCGCUGCAUUAGCUAGUUGGUAAGGUAACGGCUUACCAAGGCAACGAUGCAUAGCCGACCUGAGAGGGUGAUCGGCCACACUGGAACUGAGACACGGUCCAGACUCCUACGGGAGGCAGCAGUAGGGAAUCUUCCGCAAUGGGCGAAAGCCUGACGGAGCAACGCCGCGUGAGUGAUGAAGGUCUUCGGAUCGUAAAACUCUGUUAUUAGGGAAGAACAUAUGUGUAAGUAGCUGUGCACAUCUUGACGGUACCUAAUCAGAAAGCCACGGCUAACUACGUG
rnacentral:rRNA from 1 species